rnacentral:rRNA from 1 species
CGGAACGAUGGAGUGCUUGCACUCCAGGCGUCGAGCGGCGGACGGGUGAGUAACGCGUGAGAAUCUGCCCAUUAGUGGGGGAUAACCCGGGGAAACUCGGGCUAAUACCGCAUACGUCCUACGGGACAAAGCAGGGGACCUUUUGGCCUUGCGCUGAUGGAUGAGCUCGCGUCGGAUUAGCUUGUUGGUGAGGUAAAGGCUCACCAAGGCGACGAUCCGUAGCUGGUCUGAGAGGAUGAUCAGCCACACCGGGACUGAGACACGGCCCGGACUCCUACGGGAGGCAGCAGUGGGGAAUCUUGGACAAUGGGGGCAACCCUGAUCCAGCCAUGCCGCGUGUGUGAAGAAGGCCUUCGGGUUGUAAAGCACUUUCAGCAGGGAGGAAGGCUUUGGGUUAAUACCCUGGAGUACUUGACGUUACCUGCAGAAGAAGCACCGGCUAAUUUCGUGCCAGCAGCCGCGGUAAUACGAAAGGUGCAAGCGUUAAUCGGAAUUACUGGGCGUAAAGCGCGCGUAGGCGGUGUGUUAAGUCGGAUGUGAAAGCCCAGGGCUCAACCUUGGAAUUGCAUCCGAUACUGGCACGCUAGAGUGCAGUAGAGGGAGGUGGAAUUUCCGGGUGUAGCGGUGAAAUGCGUAGAGAUCGGAAGGGAACACCAGUGGCGAAAGGCGGCCUCCUGGACUGACACUGACGCUGAGGUGCGAAAGCGUGGGGAGCAAACAGGAUUAGAUACCCUGGUAGUCCACGCCGUAAACGAUGUCUACUAGCCGUCGGGGUCGUUAGUGACUUUGGUGGCGCAGCUAACGCGAUAAGUAGACCGCCUGGGGAGUACGGCCGCAAGGUUAAAACUCAAAUGAAUUGACGGGGGCCCGCACAAGCGGUGGAGCAUGUGGUUUAAUUCGAUGCAACGCGAAGAACCUUACCAGGUCUUGACAUCCUCGGAACUUGGCAGAGAUGCCUUGGUGCCUUCGGGAGCCGAGUGACAGGUGCUGCAUGGCCGUCGUCAGCUCGUGUCGUGAGAUGUUGGGUUAAGUCCCGUAACGAGCGCAACCCUUGUCCUUAGUUGCCAGCACUUCGGGUGGGAACUCUAGGGAGACUGCCGGUGACAAACCGGAGGAAGGUGGGGACGACGUCAGGUCAUCAUGGCCCUUACGACCUGGGCUACACACGUGCUACAAUGGCUGGUACAGAGGGUUGCUAAGUCGCGAGGCGGAGCUAAUCCCUUAAAGCCAGUCGUAGUCCGGAUCGGAGUCUGCAACUCGACUCCGUGAAGUCGGAAUCGCUUGUAAUCGCGGAUCAGAAUGCCGCGGUGAAUACGUUCCCGGGCCUUGUACACACCGCCCGUCACACCAUGGGAGUGGAUUGCACCAGAAG